GUAGAAAUAAAUUAUCUGUGUGCUCUCUUGUAAAGAAAAGGAUGGAAAAGUAAAAAAAUAUUUUCCUCAAAUAUUUUCACCGCUGCUCCCACUGAGAUUUUUCUCCCCUAGAUUUUUAUCAGCACCACCCUAGCUCUAUCAUCCCACCACGUACGGCCAGCAGCCUUAUCCACUCACUUGAUUUUCUUCAGCCGUGCUCAGAUUUUUCCAGCCGCACCUUGAUUUUUCCCCUACGCGCCGCCGUUCUCUGAAGCCUUAUCUUCCACGCACGCAGCUUUCCUCUGCUCAAGCUCAAUCGCGGCGUCCCUCUGCUCACUCUCCUGACCGCCAUCUCCAUGGCCGCGCGCACCCUUGCUUCUCUCUCCCUCCUCUUCCUCCUUGUGGCAUUUGCCAGGCCGCUACGCAGCCCCUUGGCUUCAUCUUCCCCCUUCUCCUCUAUGUCGGUGCCUUCUUUGCUCCUCAAAUCCAUGGCACCGCGGCCUCCCAACUUGGACUGCGCCACUCUUUGAUUUCCGGUGGCCGGCGUCUUCCUCUGCGCCGUCAGCUUGCCGGACUCGCGCCAUCCUCCACCGCCCUAGAUUUUUUCCUGAAGCACUACGCCCCUGGUCGAGCUUGCCCAUGGCGUCUUCCCCCUGGCGCCCCUGUGCUCGCGCCCCUGUGGCCGCGGCUCUCCCUCUGGUUGCAGGGACGCGCAAGCCCCAUCCCCAAUGGUGCUCGGCCGCCCAGCUCCCUGCUCCUUCCACUCGCCCGGCCUCUAGUUCCCUGCGCGCGCUCCUCUGCUCGCCGGUUCUCCUUGCCCCAGAACCAUCAGUCCUCUAUCCGGCUUCAACCCCACCGUCGGUCUCUAGACUCUAGUUCGCCAUGGCGCUGAAUUUCUUCCUCGUGUCAUCCCUGCUCCUCGCGCGUUGGGCACCGGGAGACUUUCCCUGCUUGGUCUGGCGUGGGUUGUAGCUGCCGGACAAGCGCACCCCUGUUUCCUUUGUCGUCGGUCGUCGUUUGACCUCGUCUUGCUGCGUGGUUCCUGGUCAUAAUCAUAACCAUCUCGGACUGCGCUGUCGCCCAGAUCUGAAACCGAACUCCCCAACGCCCUGGCGCUCAAUGAAAUGUCCAAGCCAGUCCCUCGCCACAUUCACUGCCUUUGUGCGCACGCUACUGCUUCCGUGCCGCAACAUUCGCCAACUACACGAGGUACGUUAAUUAAUCACGUGAUGCGGAAGACAACCCAAGUCGACCACAGGAUCAUGCAGAGAUUGGACAUCUCCGCAAAACAAUGUCGUCAGUCGGACCAACCUGAAGGGUAGACUGAACAAGUGCUAAGACAAAGGAUGGUUGUCAAGUGCUACAUAUGUCGUGUGAUUGGUGUAAUACCCAAAAUACUAACUUUAAGAAUAUGGGGAAUUCUCCUAUGUUUUAGACAAACCUAUUAUCUAACAAUAUAUUAGAAACAAGAUUCCCUUAAAAAAACUCUUUGGUUGAAUUUUAUAUUUAAUAAAAAUAUAAUAAUAACAACAAAAGUUAUGUUUCACAUGAAUAGAAAACAUUAGAUUUUUAAAUAUGAUAUGAUUGGAUUUUUAACUAUUUGGAUGUGUGAAUCAUUUUCUUACUCUUCAUAAUUAUGAGCACUUGUUUAUGUAAGUAAAGAAAUAAAUAAUAAAGAAUAAAACUUAAAUUUUGCAUCCA